rnacentral:lncRNA from 1 species
GUGAACUUUCUCAGUUUUUGUCUGAAAAUAUCUUGAAGGAUGUUCUUCCUGGGCAUACAAUAAUUCUAGGUUGGCCAGGUAUUUAGAUUUUGUUUUUUCCAACAUAUUGAGAGAAUCAUCCUAUGGUUUUCUGGCUUUUAUUAUUUCUGUUGACAUAUGUGUUGACAUUGUAAUCGCUGCCUCUUUAAAGGUACUUUGGCCUUUUCUUCGGUUGCUUUCAUUUUAUGAUUUUUCCCUUAGUCUUUGGAUGAGUGCAGUUUAACUAGGAUAUGUCUGGAGAUGGAUUUCUUUGUAUUUUCCUACUUGGGGUUUGAGUAGCGUUUCCAAACUCUGUGAAUUGACAUUCUUUAUCUGUUUUAGUAUAAACAUUUGAAUGUUAGAUUUUAAAAUAUGA